rnacentral:rRNA from 1 species
UCGAACGGGCACCUUCGGGUGUCAGUGGCAGACGGGUGAGUAACACGUGGGAACGUGCCCUUCGGUUCGGAAUAACUCAGGGAAACUUGAGCUAAUACCGGAUACGCCCUUAUGGGAAAGGUUUACCGCCGAAGGAUCGGCCCGCGUCUGAUUAGCUAGUUGGUGGGGUAACGGCCUACCAAGGCGACGAUCAGUAGCUGGUCUGAGAGGAUGAUCAGCCACACUGGGACUGAGACACGGCCCAG